rnacentral:tRNA from 1 species
UGCCCGAUCGUCUAAGGGUAGGACGACAGAUUUUGGUUCUGUUUGUGGAGGUUCGAAUCCUUCUCGGGCAACCA